rnacentral:lncRNA from 1 species
GCUGAUGUUCCUGUAUGAAGCAGGGAUUUUGAACAAAAUCACGGAAGAAGAAUACCAGAAAUUGGGAGAGUUGAAAGUAGACGAAAUAGAGGUUUCAGAAGGUGGUUCGGCGAACACUGGAAUGGCCAAGCAAAAAGAAGACGAAGAAAGCACUGCAAUGACCAUGACUUCACUCCAAGGAUCAUUCUAUGUUCUUAUCGUCGGACAUUUGAUAAGCACUGUGGUGCUGUUAAUUGAAAAGUUAUACCAUAGAUAA